rnacentral:tRNA from 1 species
GGUUCCAUAACUCAGUUGGUUAGAGUGUGAUGCUAAUAACGUCAAAGUCGAGGGUUCGACCCCCUCU